GCUGAAUUCCCGGGGUGCCCAUCAAAGGCUGAGAUCAUACCCGUAGAACCUGAUCAGGGUAAUGCCUGCGCAGGGAAGGCUGUUUCUAAAUAC
rnacentral:ncRNA from 2 species